rnacentral:rRNA from 1 species
UACGGAGGAUUCGAGCGUUAUCCGGAUUUAUUGGGUUUAAAGGGAGCGUAGGCGGACUAUUAAGUCAGCUGUGAAAGUUUGCGGCUCAACCGUAAAAUUGCAGUUGAUACUGGUCGUCUUGAGUGCAGUAGAGGUAGGCGGAAUUCGUGGUGUAGCGGUGAAAUGCUUAGAUAUCACGAAGAACUCCGAUUGCGAAGGCAGCUUACUGGACUGUAACUGACGCUGAUGCUCGAAAGUGUGGGUAUCAAACAGG